GUCAAGUCGGCAUGGCCCUUACACCCUGGGCUACACACAUGCUACAAUGGACGUUAACAAAGGGAUGCGAGACCGCGAGGUGGAGCAAAUCCCAAAAAUACGUUCUCAGUUCGGAUCGCAGUCUGCAACUCGACUGCGUGAAGUCGGAAUCGCUAGUAAUCGCGGAUCAGCACGCCGCGGUGAAUACGUUCCCGGGCCUU
rnacentral:rRNA from 1 species